UUUAACCAACUGCUUACUUUGUAUGCACGGCAGUUUCUUAUUGUUAUUAAUACAACUGCUUACUUUGUAUGCACGGCAGUUUCUGAGGGACCAGUCUCUCCAACUCUAUCACUCUCCAUGCAAGGAAAUCCUUUACACACCAUUCUCAAUUUCUUGAAGAAAAGUAGAGAAAAUCCACGAGGGAAAUUAGUUCUUUAAGAAACGGGGGAGCUUGAAGUUUACUUGCUGAAUUUUUCUUGGAGGCCAAAUCCUCUUUUGGAGAGAAAAGCUCAAGAAACAUAAAAAGAUCAAACCUUUCUUGUCAAAGUAUAUCACCAGAAUUUUCACCAGAAUUUUCGACUCCUAGUCCUAGAGCUCAUUGGUGAUUGGCCCUUCUGUAGAGCUCUUCAGACAGAGUACUAACUUGUACAGGAAAAAUUAAGGUUUCGAUAUUUUUCACAAUUUAAAUGAUACUUUCUCACGUGAACAUCCAUAUUUUCUAUGAUAUUUUAUUUACAAAUAUUAACCGACGCAAUAUAAAUAAAUUUCAUUAACAAGGUUUGAAUUUAAAUGAAUUCAUAACAAGGUUU
rnacentral:lncRNA from 1 species